ACAAAUAAAAUAAAAAUCCAACACACACACUGGUGUGUGGAUCGACCAGAACGUAGAGGGGGGCGAUCAGGUUUCUCCAAAACCCUAACUCACCCAAAAAUUCACAAAUUGAAGGUCAAGAUCAAUUCCAAAACAAAAUCUGAGCCUAGAUUGGUGAUCUCCAUUGCAAGGGGGUCAUAAGCGUAGGAGCCAUGUCAACAUGGACACGAGCAUGGAAGGGCAAUGGGUCAAAGCUAAAUACGGAAGCUAUGCAUGAACUCGGACGCACGAGGUAAGUGAUUUCUGUAAUCACUUCUUAUUUUAUUUAAGUAAAGUAGCGUUAGUUGAUUAAGCAUGAUGAUGUUUGAAGUUUCAUAUGGUUUUGGUCGUAUGAAAUUGGUAAUUUUAGCUUAGUAGACCGAAUGGGACAAUAUAAAAUUGUAAUGAUAUGACGAAUAAUGUCUAAGUAAUGGCUACGGUAUGUAAUCGGGUAAUGGGUAAAAUUGCACAUAAGUGCACCAACCGAGAAUGGGGACUUAGGUUACUGGGUCAAAGUGAAGGUAUACUUUAGCACGGAACGUUUGUACAAGCAAUGUCGAUAGUAUUUCAUGUGCCCGGUUAGUGUAAGGUGUUAUAACAUUAACAUUAUGUGAGCCUUAAGUGUAAACAUAUGAGUUGUUGAUAAAUGCAUGACGGGUCGAAUAAUUCGUAAUGAAUAAUAAGCCGAAAAUGUAUAAGUUAAGAAUUUCCUUAACCCGGAUGUUGGAUUUUAAGUUCACAUAAUAGAAUGUUAGUUUACAAUCAUGUAGGAAGAAACGAGAGGUUAAUCGGGGAAACGGUUUAAAAGCUAUGCAAGUUUUUGUGCGUGCGAACGACGAAAACAACACAGCAGAAAAAUGGCAAAAUUAGAGGUCGUCGCCGACGCCUUGUGCAUUUUCAGUUUUCUCCGACGCCUAAUUUUCCUGUCUACGGAGGUUUCUGGCUACGCGAAAAACUAAUAGCCGUCGCCGACGGCCUCCACAUGUUUAAAAUGCUGAAAUUUGUUAAUUAAGUUAUUUUGUGUACCGUAAGCUUCGGUAUAUUAACCGUGGUCUACGACGGGCCUCCCAAACAUAAUUUUGAAUGUUUCCUUUAUGUUUUUGGAUCAUAAAUCCAAGUCUAAGCACUCCAUAAUUAAUGUACGAGUAUGAUAAGUGAAUACGAAUAAGUUAACCAAGAAUUGAAUGUAAGUAAGUAUGUGUAGACAUGACUAUGUAAGCAUGUAGUUAUGUAUAUAGGUAAGUAGAUGUGUAGAUAUGUAGGUGCGUAUGAUUAGACGUAUGAAUAUACGAAUGCAUGAAGUAGGAUUCAUUGCCUAUGAAAAGAAUGGGACAUGUAUGCAUGUAUACAUGGCUUCAAUACGUUUGAGUAUGGACGUUACUAAUGAUGUGCUUUAGAUUGGAAUGUAAUGCAGGAAUGAGAAUGUCAGACUCUUGUAGAAUUGAAGCCGAACCUGGAAGCCGAACUCGAAACAAAGGAAUCCGAGAGGAUAGUCGAAUGAAUCAAAGUUUAUGUACUACACGGAUUUCUUCUACCACUAUCGAAGAUAAGCGGGCAUAGAUCGAGUCGAAUAACAAGGAUUGUACGGAAAGAACGGUUACGUAGUCUUAAUUUUGUAACGCAUUAAUUUGUAAAAAGGGAAGUGAAUUUUGUAAGCUUCUUCUUGAAUGUGUGUAUUGUUUUAAGAUCGUAAAGAAAUUUUUAAAGCUAUUUUUUUUCCGCUGCGUUAUUUUUAAGUUCUUACACGAUGAUCUUACAGGGAAUCGUUCUUAUUACGAACGGGUCAUGCCCGAAUUUUUCUUAAAUAAUAGUAUGGUAAUAUUACUUUUCGGAUUAAGAAAUAUGGGCGUUACAAGUUGGUAUCAGAGCCCUGGUUUGAGGGAAAUCAAGUAUGAGGAGGCAAAUACUUGAACUCAAACCUGUGUGCUCUUGUGACAAGGAACCCGUACAAUCCAAGACUCGAUCAAGA